GACGAACGCUGGCGGCGUGCUUAACACAUGCAAGUCGAACGGAAAGGCCCUGCUUUUGUGGGGUGCUCGAGUGGCGAACGGGUGAGUAACACGUGAGUAACCUGCCCUUGACUUUGGGAUAACUUCAGGAAACUGGGGCUAAUACCGGAUAGGAGCUCCUGCUGCAUGGUGGGGGUUGGAAAGUUUCGGCGGUUGGGGAUGGACUCGCGGCUUAUCAGCUUGUUGGUGGGGUAGUGGCUUACCAAGGCUUUGACGGGUAGCCGGCCUGAGAGGGUGACCGGGGAGAGGGGGAGUGAGGUAGGGGCUGCAGGCCUACGGGAGGCAGCAGGGGGGAGUGUGGCAGAAGGGGAGGCGGCGUGAUACAGCAGUGCAGCGGGCGGGAAGAGGGGCGUCGGGUAGGAAAAAGCAUGAGCCGGAGAAGAAGAGUGAGUGACGGGAAUGAGUAAAGAAGCACCGGCUAACCAGGUG
rnacentral:rRNA from 1 species